GGAAUAUUGGACAAUGGGCGAAAGCCUGAUCCAGCCAUGCCGCGUGAGUGAUGAAGGCCCUAGGGUUGUAAAGCUCUUUCACCGGUGAAGAUAAUGACGGUAACCGGAGAAGAAGCCCCGGCUAACUUCGUUCCAGCAGCCGCGGUAAUACGAAGGGGGCUAGCGUUGUUCGGAUUUACUGGGCGUAAAGCGCACGUAGGCGGUUUGUUAAGUCAGAGGUGAAAUCCCGGAGCUCAACUCCGGAACUGCCUUUGAUACUGGCAAGCUAGAGUCCGGAAGAGGUAAGUGGAACUCCUAGUGUAGAGGUGGAAUUCGUAGAUAUUAGGAAGAACACCAGUGGCGAAGGCGGCUUACCGGUCCGGAACUGAUGCUGAGGUGCGAAAGCGUGGGGAGCAAA
rnacentral:rRNA from 1 species